UGGGGGAUAUUGGACAAUGGGGGAAACCCUGAUCCAGCGACGCCGCGUGAGUGAAGAAGUAUUUCGGUAUGUAAAGCUCUAUCAGCAGGGAAGAAAAUGACGGUACCUGACUAAGAAGCCCCGGCUAACUACGUGCCAGCAGCCGCGGUAAUACGUAGGGGGCAAGCGUUAUCCGGAUUUACUGGGUGUAAAGGGAGCGUAGACGGCAGGGCAAGUCUGAUGUGAAAGGUCGGGGCCCAACCCCGGGACUGCAUUGGAAACUGUCCGGCUGGAGUACAGGAGAGGUAAGUGGAAUUCCUAGUGUAGCGGUGAAAUGCGUAGAUAUUAGGAGGAACACCAGUGGCGAAGGCGGCUUACUGGACUGUAACUGACGUUGAGGCUCGAAAGCGUGGGGAGCAAACAGG
rnacentral:rRNA from 1 species